rnacentral:rRNA from 1 species
UACAGAGGGGGCAAGCGUUGUUCGGAAUUAUUGGGCGUAAAGGGCGCGUAGGCGGCCAUCCAAGUCGGGUGUGAAAUCCCUCGGCUCAACCGAGGAACUGCACUCGAUACUGGUUGGCUCGAGUCCGGGAGGGGAUGGUGGAAUUCCCAGUGUAGCGGUGAAAUGCGUAGAUAUUGGGAAGAACACCGGUGGCGAAGGCGACCAUCUGGACCGGAACUGACGCUGAGGCGCGAAAGCCA